GACGAACGCUGGCGGCGUGCUUAACACAUGCAAGUCGAGCGGUAAGGCCCUUUCGGGGGUACACGAGCGGCGAACGGGUGAGUAACACGUGGGUGACCUGCCCUCAGCUCUGGGAUAAGCCUGGGAAACCGGGUCUAAUACUGGAUAUGACUCCAUGACGCAUGUUGUGGGGUGGAAAGCCUUGUGCGGCUGAGGAUGGGCCCGCGGCCUAUCAGCUUGUUGGUGGGGUGANGGCCUACCAAGGCGACGACGGGUAGCCGGUCUGAGAGGGCGACCGGCCACACUGGGACUGAGACACGGCCCAGACUCCUACGGGAGGCAGCAGUGGGGAAUCUUGCGCAAUGGGCGAAAGCCUGACGCAGCGACGCCGCGUGAGGGAUGACGGCCUCGGUGUAACGU
rnacentral:rRNA from 1 species